rnacentral:rRNA from 1 species
UGGCGGACGGGUGAGUAACGCGUAGGGAUUUAUCGUUGGGUGGGGGAUAACCUUGGGAAACUGGGGCUAAUACCGCAUGACGCCUGUGGGCAAAAGCAGCAAUGCGCCUGAUGAGGAGCCUGCGUACGAUUAGCUAGUUGGUGGGGUAAAGGCCUACCAAGGCGACGAUCGUUAGCUGGUCUGAGAGGAUGAUCAGCCACACUGGGACUGAGACACGGUCCGG